CCUUGGCUGAUACUGAGCGACUGAGCAUGCGCAGGUCAGAUGCCAAGGGUCGGGCGAAAGAACUCUUGCAUUUGCCCGUCAACCUCCGUGGUGUGAAGAUCGAGCAGCUCCCGUGCUACACAUCGACUGGAUGAUAAGUCGGUACCUGGGGAAACCUGGGGAAGGUAAACUGUGGCGACCGCUAAGUCACACUAGCCUUGCAUCGGGGGAAGAUGGGUUCAUGGUCACUACCACAGGCUCAAAGGACCAAUGCAACGGAGAUGAGCACCGCCGCCACGCGCAGCAAUAGCGGUUGUUGGGCCGCCAGGACGUGACGGAGUGGGCGGAACGGGUCGACAGGAGUUAUCACGUGGUGGAUGUUGGAUAAGAUGCGGACGUAAGGAAUUCACACGUCUGCAGGAAAUAGUCAUCAUGUAGUGCAAACAACACACUGGCCAGCUGAUCGAAUGCGAGGAAGUGGACGUCUUGUGCCGUGGCCUGUCUCACUACAACACAGCAACGUUACGUGGUACCUCAGCUGGACACGUCUGCGGGCCUGUGACAAUCCGCGUGGGACGCCACAGGCCAGGCUGCAUAGCCAAGCAGACCUUGUAUUCAACGGCGAAUGAAAACCCGAGCCUAGACGCGUGAACCCGAAACAGGCCGCAGGUGUGCCCAGUUGAGGUAUAUGCAGCGGGUUACGGGUGACCAUGGCUGGAGCGAGACAGUCCAGUGACUCCUUCAACUUAAGGAGUCCUAGCCUCGUCGACAGCCGCCUCACGCCACCCUGCGCCCGAAGUUUUUCAUUUACUCCACAGGUCGGGAAGAGGCGACCAGCCGCGAGGGGGUCUGCGUAGGCCGCUUCCUUAUCUGCGCUCUACCUGCGGAAGAGUUCCAGUAUCAGACCAGUGCAUACAAUAAUAAUAAAGAAUCUUCAGAAAAGUCCACAUGUUUAU